rnacentral:misc_RNA from 1 species
UACGUAGGUGGCAAGCGUUGUCCGGAAUUAUUGGGCGUAAAGCGCGCGCAGGCGGCUUCUUAAGUCUGAUGUGAAAUUUUUCGGCUCAACCGGGGAGGGCCAUUGGAAAUUGGGUGGCUUGAGUAUAGGAGAGAAGAGUGGAAUUCCACGUGUAGCGGUGAAAUGCGUAGAGAUGUGGAGGAACACCAGUGGCGAAGGCGACUCUUUGGCCUAUAACUGACGCUGAGGCGCGAAAGCGUGGGGAGCAAACAGA